GCGGCGGGAGGAGCGGCCAGUGCGCGGUGGCACGUUCCGGAGCGCCUCCUCCUAACCACGAGCCAGACGUGGGGAGAACUGUCCAACCAAUGUGGGCUUGGAACCUUCCCCCACCUCUCAGAUUCCAGGCUCUAAGCCUGGGAUUCCUUGCUGGGUUUCUACUUGCACAGACCACCAAAUGGACGAUCUCUCUAGCACCCGAGGCACAAGAAUUCUUCAUUUAGCAUAAGGCCACUUCUCUAAGAUACCUGGUAUCUUUUCUUCCUGCUUCAACCUUAACCCCAGAAUGAUGAGUACGAGCAGCUAUUUAAGAGUUUAAAUAAAUAACGACGAAGUCAUUCUUCCAGGCAAACAAGGCCAGAAGAGGGCAUCUGACCACCUGGAACUGGAGCAUUGGGAACUGAACAGAGGCCCCCCAUCAUCUCUCCAGUCCUGGUUUGUGGCUCCUGAUGAGAUGGAUACAAAGAGCAUACAGGAAGCAGAGUGGGGGACCAUCCGCAUCCGCAUCGUUACAGAGUCCAUCACAGAGCAUCUUCAGUAUGUGACUUGUUAUAAGAUGCAGACAAACAAGCAAGAGAAGCAACCUCCUGAGGCUCGGGUCUCGGGUCUCCGUCUGUGUUUGCAGGAUUGUGCUGUACUGCUUGCUGCUGCUUUAUGGGCGUGCACCCUGUAAUACCAGUUUACAAAGGGAGGCCCCUGGGGAAGAUGGCAAAUCAUCUUCAUCUUUUCCCAACACCUCAUGCCUCGUAGAACUGAAUACAGCCCUGUCAUAGCGGCCUGUGGUAAAUGACAGGUGGGGGACAUGGCUUGCUUUGUAGGGUGCUUGCCUAGUUUGCACAAUCCCACAAACUGUGUGGUGGCACAGGCCUGCAAUCCCCACACUUGGGAAAUAAAGUUCAGAGCAUCAGAA